AGGAUAGUAGUUAAAAUAAAUUAAUAACAUUUAAGUUGCAUUUAAAAAUUAUUUAAAAAAAUUUAUCUA
rnacentral:tRNA from 1 species